GAUGAACGCUGGCGGCGUGCUUAACACAUGCAAGUCGAACGGAAAGGCCCUGCUUUUGUGGGGUGCUCGAGUGGCGAACGGGUGAGUAACACGUGAGUAACCUGCCCUUGACUUUAGGAUAACUUCAGGAAACUGGGGCUAAUACAGGCUAGGAGCUCCUGCUGCAUGGUGGGGGUUGGAAAGUUUCGGCGCUUGAGGGUGGACUCGCGGUUUAUUAGCUUGUUGGUGGGGUGGUGUCUUACCAAGGCGUUGACGGGUAGCCGGCCUGUGAGAGAGACCUGCCCCAUUCGGGCAGAGAUACGGCCCACACGCAUACGGGGGGCAGCGGUGGGGAAUAUUGCACGAUGUGCGGAAGCCUGAUGCAGCAACGCCGCGUGCGGGAUGACGGCCUGCGGGGUGUAAGCCGCUUUCGCCUGUGACGAGGCGUAAUGGAGGUAAAUGGGGAAUAAGGAACCGCUAACUUAGGG
rnacentral:rRNA from 1 species